rnacentral:rRNA from 1 species
GUAGGGAAUAUUGGGCAAUGGAUGCAAGUCUGACCCAGCCAUGCCGCGUGGAGGAAGAAGGUCCUCUGGAUUGUAAACUCCUUUUUUGGGGGAAGAAUAGUUCUCUUGCGAGGGAAUGUGACGGUACCCUAAGAAUAAGCCACGGCUAACUACGUGCCAGCAGCCGCGGUAAUACGUAGGUGGCAAGCGUUGUCCGGAUUUAUUGGGUUUAAAGGGUGCGUAGGUGGUUUGAUAAGUCAGUGGUGAAAGCUGGUUGCUCAACAAUCAAGUUGCCAUUGAUACUGUCGGACUUGAGAGAAGUGGAGGUUCAUGGAAUGGAUGGUGUAGCGGUGAAAUGCAUAGAUAUCAUCCAGAACGUCGAUUGCGAAGGCAGUGGGCUGUACUUUAUCUGACACUGAGGCACGAAAGUGUGGGGAUCAAACAGGAUUAGAUACCCCGGUAGUCC